rnacentral:misc_RNA from 1 species
UGCGGCCUAUUUUUUGGGGGAGGUGGUGGCUCGAUGCAGGCCUCCAUCCGGCGCUCUCCAACGGGCGCAGGAGGACAACGGUGCACCCCCCGCGUUCCACCGAGCCUCCUCGGUCGCGUGGCGCGCGGGGACGUGCGAUGCUCUCGGACCCAGCGAAUGCCGUGGGCGAGGACUCACGUCCCAGUCCCGAUAGAAGCUCCCACAUAAUGCUGACGGCCGCUCCCGUCCCCCGACCGCCCCGGCGACGCGGGGCGAGGCGCGGCGUCGCGGAGGAAUGCUACCU